rnacentral:rRNA from 1 species
GAUGAACGCUGACAGAAUGCUUAACACAUGCAAGUCAACUUGAAUUUGGGUUUUUAACUUAGGUUUGGGUGGCGGACGGGUGAGUAACGCGUAAAGAACUUGCCUCACAGCUAGGGACAACAUUUGGAAACGAAUGCUAAUACCAAAUAUUAUGAUAAUAGGGCAUCCUAUAAUUAUGAAAGCUAUAAGCGCUGUGAGAGAGCUUUGCGUCCCAUUAGCUAGUUGGAGAGGUAACGGCUCACCAAGGCGAUGAUGGGUAGCCGGCCUGAGAGGGUGAUCGGCCACAAGGGGACUGAGACACGGCCCUUACUCCUACGGGAGGCAGCAGUGGGGAAUAUUGGACAAUGGACCGAGAGUCUGAUCCAGCAAUUCUGUGUGCACGAUGAAGUUUUUCGGAAUGUAAAGUGCUUUCAGUUGGGAAGAAACAAAUGACGGUACCAACAGAAGAAGUGACGGCUAAAUACGUG